GAUGAACGCUGGCGGCGUGCUUAACACAUGCAAGUCGAGCGAAGCGCUUAAGUUUGAUUCUUCGGAUGAAGACUUUUGUGACUGAGCGGCGGACGGGUGAGUAACGCGUGGGUAACCUGCCUCAUACAGGGGGAUAACAGUUAGAAAUGACUGCUAAUACCGCAUAAGCGCACAGUGCUGCAUGGCACAGUGUGAAAAACUCCGGUGGUAUGAGAUGGACCCGCGUCUGAUUAGCUAGUUGGCGGGGUAAAUGCCCACCAAGGCUAUGAUCAGUAGCUGGUUUGAGAGGAUGAUCAGCCACAAUGGGACUGAGACACGGCCCAU
rnacentral:rRNA from 1 species